CUGAGAUGUACCAUGUUGAAGACGGGAGACAUCAGAUAGUUUCCUGUGUAAAAGGUCAAACAAAAUAUCUCUUGGGUCACAUUCAGCCCACCAGUUCGGAAGUCUGGUGGAGCAAGAGAAAAGGAGUCAAGGAGAACAUCCUGAAAGACAGUCAAGGGAACAGGGGCAGCAAGAACAGAGCUGAGGAGGAGGAACCAGCAGAGUAGUGUGGUGAACAGCAAGAGAGAAUUUCAAGGAAUAAGGGUAACAUGGAGAAGAAAAAUCAGCAGGAAGACUGGAAGUCAUCUCUGUUCAGAGCAUUGAUAGUUUCAGCAGAGAGCUGUAAUCUGAUUCAAUAAGUUACACUAAUCAUCAUCCUUAUUCUACUGAAAGAAGACAACUACAAACUUCUUCCUGGCCAAUAUAUUAACAAAGUUCUUAAUAGUUUCUUGGUCUGUAUACUUAUAAAGAAUCUUUAUAUUCUGUAGAUUGAUACAUGAAGGCAAAAAAAAACAAAAAACAAAAAACAAAAAAAACAAAACACAGUGUCAGAAGAAAAAAGAAAAGCUCUCUUGGGUUCUAUUCCUCCCUUAAAUUGACCUAAAGACUUAAGGAUUUAUCCAAGGGGUUAGGUAAAUUAGAAAGCAGCCCUUUUGUGAGCAGACACAAUACUAAGUCAAUACCUCUCUGUACUCUUAAUGGUCCAUUAACCUAAUGACAUCUCCUUAAGAGUCCAAUCUUAUCCUCUCAAUUGAUCUUAUGACUGUCAACAUUUAUUAAUAAGCACUUACUAUAUAGGCCAGGCAGUGUGCUAGAUAAUUUAGUAAGUCAACAAGUUCUUGUUUCUAAGCACUUACAGACUAAAGGAAAAUAAUAAUAACAAUAAUAAUAAACUAAAUACAAAUAAUACUAAUUACUAGCGUGUGGUUACUAGAAACCAACAUGUAUGAACUGGGGUACCCAGCCCCGGCCAGGUGGGAGUUGGUGCUGAUGAAAUGGAGACCAGGACAGUAAGCUAGGUGAAAUAGGUUGGGUGAAGCUCUCAACUCCCAAUGGCAGCUCAAAGGCCUUCAAGUAGGAAGGGUGGUGAGCAAGAAAUGAUAAUUCCUACAACUUGCUUUAAAAAAAAAAAAAAAAAUCAAAACCCUUUGAGUUAUAUUUUUUCUGCAAGAUGGAAAGUGGUUUUAAAGAAGAUCUAAGACAGGAAAGAAGAAUCAGUAUGUGAAAACAUACGGAAAGGAAG